rnacentral:rRNA from 1 species
CACGUAGGAGGCGAGCGUUGUCCGGAAUCAUUGGGCGUAAAGAGCGCGCAGGCGGCUUGGCAAGUCGGGUGUGAAAUCCCGGGGCUCAACCCCGUGACUGCAUCCGAUACUGUCAGGCUAGAGGUAGGUAGGGGAGAUCGGAAUUCCUGGUGUAGCGGUGAAAUGCGCAGAUAUCAGGAGGAACACCGGUGGCGAAGGCGGAUCUCUGGGCCUUAACUGACGCUCAGGCGCGAAAGCUAGGGGAGCGAACAGG